UACGUAGGGAGCAAGCGUUGUCCGGAAUUAUUGGGCGUAAAGAGCUCGUAGGCGGUCUGUCGCGUCUGCUGUGAAAACUCAGGGCUUAACCCUGAGCUUGCAGUGGGUACGGGCAGACUAGAGUGCGGUAGGGGAGACUGGAAUUCCUGGUGUAGCGGUGAAAUGCGCAGAUAUCAGGAGGAACACCGAUGGCGAAGGCAGGUCUCUGGGCCGAUACUGACGCUGAGGAGCGAAAGCGUGGGGAGCGAACAGG
rnacentral:rRNA from 1 species